GAAUUCUAAACUCUAAUUGUCCUAAAAAUAUGCAGAGUACACUAUGUCGUUUUAAUGGAAUAUUUGUUUUCUUAAAAAAAAAAAAAAAAAGAACUUCUAAGGAGAACCUAAGACCCAAGGGGUUUAGUCUGUGUGGAUUUACUCAUGCAUGUGAAAAACUGUGAAGGGAAUUCGGACCGUGCACCUAAGACAUUAGAAACAUAUUUUAAAAGCACUUAAAAGUCCAGGGGGGAGGUCACUGGCCCGUCCGGCUUGCUCCAUGCUGUUCUAAUUACACCUUUGUACGUCAGUUUCAGGCAGGGUUGCUGCAGAGACAAGGAUUUCUUUCGUGGACAGAAUCAUGGGAUCAAAACUAUCGGGAAGGGCUGAAGUUGUGCCAGGGAAUGAACGCUCUUGGCUCACAGUCCUGGUUGGAAAGUGGACCCCGUGGUGCAUUCAGAGCUGUGAUUGGAUGGUUUGUGGUCAGACGUGCACUUCCAGGGCUCAGCCAAG
rnacentral:lncRNA from 1 species